rnacentral:rRNA from 1 species
AGUGAACGCUGGCGGUAGGCCUAACACAUGCAAGUCGAACGGCAGCACAGGAGAGCUUGCUCUCUAGGUGGCGAGUGGCGGACGGGUGAGGAAUACAUCGGAAUCUGCCCAGUCGUGGGGGAUAACGUAGGGAAACUUACGCUAAUACCGCAUACGACCUUCGGGUGAAAGAGGGGGAUCGCAAGACCUCUCGCGAUUGGAUGAGCCGAUGUCGGAUUAGCUAGUUAGCGGGGUAAUGGCCCACCAAGGCGACGAUCCGUAGCUGGUCUGAGAGGAUGAUCAGCCACACUGGAACUGAGACACGGUCCAGACUCCUACGGGAGGCAGCAGUGGGGAAUAUUGGACAAUGGGCGCAAGCCUGAUCCAGCCAUGCCGCGUGGGUGAAGAAGGCCUUCGGGUUGUAAAGCCCUUUUGUUGGGAAAGAAAUCUUUCAGGCUAAUACCCUGGGAGGAUGACGGUACCCAAAGAAUAAGCACCGGCUAACUUCGUG